rnacentral:rRNA from 1 species
UACGAAGGGUGCAAGCGUUACUCGGAAUUACUGGGCGUAAAGGGCGCGUAGGCGGCCUGUUAAGUCGAACGUGAAAUCCCCGGGCUCAACCCGGGAACUGCGUCCGAUACUGGCAGGCUUGAAUCCGGGAGAGGGAUGCGGAAUUCCAGGUGUAGCGGUGAAAUGCGUAGAUAUCUGGAGGAACACCGGUGGCGAAGGCGGCAUCCUGGACCGGCAUUGACGCUGAGGCGCGAAAGCCAGGGGAGCAAACGGG